UAAAAUGUUAACGGCAGUUUUUCAGGCUGCAGAUCUUGGAGAGAAUCCGAGUAGGAAUU
rnacentral:tRNA from 1 species